rnacentral:rRNA from 1 species
GUGUCAGCAGCCGCGGUAAUACGGAGGGUGCAAGCGUUGUUCGGAAUCACUGGGCGUAAAGCGCGUGUAGGCGGCCUCCUAAGUCUGGUGUGAAAGCCCGGGGCUUACCCCCGGAAGUGCACUGGAUACUGGGAGACUAGAGUACCGGAGAGGAGGGUGGAAUUCCUGGUGUAGCGGUGAAAUGCGUAGAUAUCAGGAAGAACACCGGUGGCGAAGGCGGCCCUCUGGACGGAUACUGACGCUGAGACGCGAAAGCGUGGGGAGCAAACAGGAUUAGAUACCCCUGUAGUCC